rnacentral:tRNA from 1 species
AGACCCUGCCGGGGCUUC